AGGUCAGUUCUGGUAUGCACUGUAAAAAGUGCUACACCCACAAAGUAGGUUUUAAAUACUUUAAAUAGUUUUAAUCUAGUUUAUUUUAUUUGUUUUAUACUAAAACGUAUUAAUAUACUUCCUCUUUACUUAAAAUAUAUCAGUUUUUAUAUAACAAUAUAUUUUAAGUAAAGCUAUUGCAAUUUAUUUGGGUAGUUAUUUGUAUAUGGUUGUUGUGUACAAGAAAUGUUAUAAAAGUGAGUUGACAUACACAAUUUAUUAGAGCAGUUGUCGGUGUGACAGGUUUGUUCAUCAAACGUAAAUAUUUUAAAAUUUUUAGUAGUUGGCAUUAUCCAUUUUUCACUGGCGGGGACUUGCCCAGGCAGAUGCCGCAUCUUCGACACUUCAACUGUUUGAACGCUGCAGCGGAUCUUUUCAGGGACUGAUUAACACGAUACCCAAGCACUUUUGUUACCUGAGGGUCUUCAAGCUUCAUAUUCAGAGUCAUGAUGAAAGCGAGGUGCAGGCUGAGCUUGGCAGUUGCCCACUGAAAAUUUACAUGUGCCAUCAUCCCGACACAAUUGGAAUUAUCAUAGAAGGAAAGCCCGUGGUCAGAGGUGUGCCAAACCUGUCGAAAGCAUGCUGCCUCUUGUUUGGACUUACAUAUGCCCUCGACCUCAAGUAUCCCCCAAAGUUGGUGUACACAUUCGAGAUAUAUCAGAGGCUGUUUGUGGGAUUGGACCCCAUGCGUCCUAAGCCAUCAUCCAAGUAUACCAAUCUCCUCAUUAAGUUAUCUUAGAUGUUUUCUCAAUGACAUCUGACAUUGUUUGCCAUCAUUUUACAAGUCUCUGAAUUUUACAAGUAUUUUGAUUUAAAAUACAAAAAUCUUACAGAUUUU